GAUGAAGAACGCAGCGAAAUGCGAUAAGUAAUGUGAAUUGCAGAAUUCCGUGAAUCAUCGAAUCUUUGAACGCACAUUGCGCCUCUGGUAUUCCGGGGGGCAUGCCUGUCCGAGCGUCAUUUGCAACCCUCAAGCCCGGCUUGUGUGAUGGGUGCCGUCCCCUACGGGACGCGCCCCGAAGGCAAUGGCGGCGUCGCGGUUAUCCGAUCAGCCAAAGUGUAUGGGGCUUUGUCACUCACUUUACGGCCCGGACCGGCGCCAGUCCGAAUCAAUCUUUUUUCUAAAGUUGACCUCGGAUCAGGUAGGGAUACCCGCUGAACUUAAGCAUAUCAAUAAGCGGAGGA
rnacentral:misc_RNA from 1 species